rnacentral:rRNA from 1 species
AACAUUUCUAGCUUGCUAGAAGAUGACGAGUGGCGGACGGGUGAGUAAUGCUUGGGAACUUGCCUUUGCGAGGGGGAUAACAGUUGGAAACGACUGCUAAUACCGCAUAAUGUCUUCGGACCAAACGGGGCUUCGGCUCCGGCGCAAAGAGAGGCCCAAGUGAGAUUAGCUAGUUGGUAAGGUAACGGCUUACCAAGGCGACGAUCUCUAGCUGUUCUGAGAGGAAGAUCAGCCACACUGGGACUGAGACACGGCCCAGACUCCUACGGGAGGCAGCAGUGGGGAAUAUUGCACAAUGGGGGAAACCCUGAUGCAGCCAUGCCGCGUGUGUGAAGAAGGCCUUCGGGUUGUAAAGCACUUUCAGUUGUGAGGAAAAGUUAGUAGUUAAUACCUGCUAGCCGUGACGUUAACAACAGAAGAAGCACCGGCUAACUCCGUGCCAGCAGCCGCGGUAAUACGGAGGGUGCGAGCGUUAAUCGGAAUUACUGGGCGUAAAGCGCACGCAGGCGGUUUGUUAAGCUAGAUGUGAAAGCCCCGGGCUCAACCUGGGAUGGUCAUUUAGAACUGGCAGACUAGAGUCUUGGAGAGGGGAGUGGAAUUCCAGGUGUAGCGGUGAAAUGCGUAGAUAUCUGGAGGAACAUCAGUGGCGAAGGCGACUCCCUGGCCAAAGACUGACGCUCAUGUGCGAAAGUGUGGGUAGCGAACAGGAUUAGAUACCCUGGUAGUCCACACCGUAAACGCUGUCUACUAGCUGUGUGUGUCUUUAAGACGUGCGUAGCGAAGCUAACGCGCUAAGUAGACCGCCUGGGGAGUACGGCCGCAAGGUUAAAACUCAAAUGAAUUUGACGGGGGCCCGCACAAGCGGUGGAGC